UACGUAGGUGGCAAGCGUUGUCCGGAAUUACUGGGUGUAAAGCGCGUGUAGGCGGUUCGGUAAGUCUGCUGUGAAAGUCCAGGGCUCAACCCUGGGAUGCCGGUGGAUACUGUCGGACUAGAGUACGGAAGAGGCGAGUGGAAUUCCCGGUGUAGCGGUGAAAUGCGCAGAUAUCGGGAGGAACACCAAUUGCGAAGGCAGCUCGCUGGGACGUUACUGACGCUGAGACGCGAAAGCAUGGGGAGCGAACAGG
rnacentral:rRNA from 1 species